GAUUGAAAAGAAUUGUUUUAGAAAUCAGAUAAAGUAACCAGUGACGUAACCAGAAACUCCAAACGGAUAAUCCAACUUUUGUUAUACAGUAAAUCCUCGUCCUCUGCGCUUUUACCUUGCGCAUUACGCGGCGCCUGUUUCUCAACUGGUAGCGCUACUGUUCUUAUAACGGAAAGUAUUAUAUUCGAAUUGGAUUAAUCUUUAGAGAAUUAGAUUAAUUGUUGAACAAAUUGUUUAAACAUUUAAUAACGUUAGAUUUAAUGCGAGAUCUGGUGGACAUAACAGAACAACAAGCCGUGUAGCACUCAAUUUUAUUUAAUGUUCAAGAUGAAAUGAAUACAAUGUGUUCGAAGAUAACUUUAUGUGUAGAAUACAAAAUAAAAAAGAAACAAUAUUCUUCGAUUCUCCUUUUUUUAUUUAAAAGAUAUGGAUCUCAAAUUGUAAAACUUUUUUUCAACUAAUUGGCCCACAUAUUCUUUCAUUUCUGCUUGGAGCAAACUGCUGUUUCUAUUUGCUACAAAUAGUUUUUAAAUGCACUUCUCCGAGUUUUUAUAUUGGUAAUGGUAAAAUGGUUUGCAUCAUCAACAUUUCGUGCUAAGCUUGUUGCACUGUUAAGUUUUUUAUUUAGGGGAACGGAAGUUAACCCCAGCCAUUGCAAAAAAAAUAAACUUCACGUUGUUUUACCAUGUUUGUUUUGAUAUCUCUAGAAACGUUACUGUUACUGUUGAACUUGAUUGGUUAAUGCAUUUUGACGUGAAGAAUAAAACUAACAAGAGGCCCAUCAAACAUGGUAUCAAUGGAUUUUGGUGAAAUUCAGGUAUGUUGUAGAAGUAUCUUCCCUAAGUACGAAGUUAACCGGAAUUUCUUCAAUAAGGCAUAGUUUCCGAAACAAAAUUUUACGCGCGGUAUAUAGGUAUACCAAUAACCGUGGCCAGUUAUCAAGGAAACGAGCGUGACGUAGUUGGUAAGAUUUGUGAAUGUCACGCUAUUGGAUUAUGUUCAAUUCCCGUGGACUAACUUUUCUUGUUGCUCACCUAUAUCCAUUUUAACAAUUCAUUCAAAUGCAUUUACAUAGAACAAUCCUUUGGAAAAUGAGUGGACCAUAUUGGAUCCGCCAUUUCACUGUGCUCGACACAGUGCUGCAAUGUUUAUAAUGACUUUGCAACGAAUGGAGCAAGUAAGCACAAGAUUCUUUCGCAUAUUCUGGGAGAACACACUUUAAUCUACAUAUUUCAUAUACACAUUCCUUGCGAUUUCCGGCGAUCACAACACUCUUUAUGAUUUACGAAAACAAUGCUUUCAAAAUAAACGUUUCUAUCGAUCUGCAUUUGGCGCCAUUUUUUUUAACACUUAUUGACUGAAAAUUAAUGAAAACAAUUACAGAUACAUAUUCUAAUACUAAUCUCCAAAACUAGUAUCCAUGAAAAAGAAAUUUGAAAUCCCAGUUGUACAAAAGAUUAUUAUUACUUGAAGCACGAGCAAUAUUUUUUGAGCGGUAGGCGUAAUGCAUGCUGUCUCGAGGAAGGUAACUUUGAUCGACCGUACAAUCAAAAAUGAGUGUUGGCGAAAUUUUAUUUGUGAACUUUUAUAGAGGAAUACCUCGUUUACAAAAUUCCAAUGUCGAAAAUUCUAAAUUUCAACUCUCAUUUUUUGAUUUUUGAACCAGGGUUUUGGGGAUUUGAACCACUGUGCACCGGAGAAGAACUCAGAACAGUGCGAUUUUGAUAUUGUUGCCAACACGAAGAAUUUAAUAGAAAAGUGCAAAAGUGAUAAGAAGUUACCAUAGACGAUAAAACACGUGAAAGCUUGCGCGGCAGAAAACAGUUUCGCUUGAAUCUCGAAAUAAAACUGAGUGUGUUAUUUGUGGCGAAAUUUUUAAUGAAAAUUGGAUUUAGAGCCAUAUUUGUAAUAGAUGAGCUCACGAGGCAUGUGUGGAUAUUAAUCUUUCUCUUAUUUUGAGUAGAACUUACAGCUCACAAUCACGAUUAACGAUAAAAUACAUUUUUGUAUCAACAAAGAUAAUACAGCCAAUGUUGAGGAAGCCUACCUGUCGCAUAAAUUCUUUUGUGGUGAAAACCAGCUCAUGGUACAGCAGCCAACGCGGUAGUUCUUGAAAAAGUGAACUAUUCGGAUGAAUCGAUACCGUUUGAUUGUGCUUAGCCGUCUUGUAAUGACCAC